UUAACACGCGGUCUCUUCCCGCUCGGGCUCGGGGCAGGUUCGCUGUGUGCCGCAAUCCGCCGCCAUCCGCCCUGGUGCCCGGCUCCCGGCGCCUCCGCCGGCGGCAGCAGCGUGCCCGAGCAGCCGGAUCCCGGAGAGGUGGACCGCACGUGCUGGACAUGGGUGCAGCCCGGAGCUGGGACGUGGCUGGGUUAAUGGCAGGUGACCCGUUCAGUCGGCUUUGGAGCUGCUGCGUGGAGCGAGUGGGAAUGCCAGGCUGUGUGCACGUAGACAUGAGGAUCUGCUGAAGGUUCUCCCAUCCCUCCGCAGGUCCGGUGUGCUGGAGCAGCAGGGGCCAAGCAGUCAGCGCAGGGCAGGGGACCCGCUCAGCCCUGCCAUGCCCUGUGAUGUUCUUCCUGGAGUCGCAGACCUUGCUUGGUGCAGACGGGUGAAAUGGUGAGCUGAGACAGCUGGAAAGUGGCCAGGUUAACAGCAGGCAGGCCUGUUAACUUCAGCUUUGGAGCUGCUGCCUGGAGUAAGUGGGAAUGCCAGGCUGUGUGCACGUAGACAUGAGGGUCCUCUGAAGGUUAAAGAAUUGCCAAAGCAGAAGCUGGCCCACAGGCUGUUUUAUCUGGGUGAAUUGGAAAGUUCUCCCCUGCUUAUCACAUGUAUACUUGCCAAACAGACUGAAAGUAACCUUUGGUCAAAGUUGCUGUAUCCAUGUCACCCCACCACUCACUUCUUGACCAGAUAUCCCUCGAACUUGUGGAAAACAAGAAAUAUUUAAUGUCCUGCCUCCAUUUAAGAGAAGCCAAGAGCUAUGAAUGUCUCAAAGUUUUGUGAGAAUAAAUUAAUUGGAAUGGA